AAGAACUUUGAAAAGAGAGUCAAAAAGACCGCGAAACCGUUAGGAGGGAAACGAAUGCUGCUGAAGUGGCUCCCCGGCAGGCUCAGGAGAGGUCGGCGGGUCCGGCGACCGGAGCGGUUGCGUCUUUGCCGCUCGGCCGUCCGGCGCUCGGCGACCGAUCUGCACUUCUGCGGGGAGCCGGCCAACGGCAGUCGCUCCCGGCCCAGGAGGGCGUCGUGGGAAGGUGGUCCCGCGUUCGCGCGGGGAGCUUACAGCCCGGCGCCUGGACGUUCCGGGGUUUGCGACUGAGGAGAGUCUUGCGAGUCCCUUUCGCACGAGCAGCGCAGGCCGUCCCCCCGGGGGUGGCUGGGCCGCUCUCGCUCGGCGUGCGGCCGCGGCGGUCACUGCUUGCAGUGGGUCUUUGCCGACGGUCUCGCGUGUCGGGAGGGAGGCCGGUCGCACCUUGCGCUGCGGUCGUUGGUGUCCGAAUGGCCGCAUCCGACCCGUCUUGAAACACGGAA
rnacentral:rRNA from 1 species